UGAAGCUGUAACUCUGCAUGCUUAGACUCAGAAUAGCAAGCUGUCUGCUGACAUCAGAAGUGGUAGCCUGAACCAAUCACAAUGCUUCACCAUAGGAUUGGCUGAGACUGACAGAGGCAGAGCCAGCAUGAUUCAAACACAGCCCUGGCCAAUCCGCAUCUCCUCAUAGAGAUUAAUUGAAUCAAUGAAUCUCUGAGGAAAGUUCAGUGUCUGCAUGCAGAGGGAG